GACGAACGCUGGCGGCGUGCCUAAUACAUGCAAGUAGAACGCUGAAGGAGGAGCUUGCUUCUCUGGAUGAGUUGCGAACGGGUGAGUAACGCGUAGGUAACCUGCCUGGUAGCGGGGGAUAACUAUUGGAAACGAUAGCUAAUACCGCAUAAGAGUAGAUGUUGCAUGACAUUUGCUUAAAAGGUGCAAUUGCAUCACUACCAGAUGGACCUGCGUUGUAUUAGCUAGUUGGUGGGGUAACGGCUCACCAAGGCGACGAUACAUAGCCGACCUGAGAGGGUGGUCGGCCACACUGGGACUGAGACACGGCCCAGACUCCUACGGGAGGCAGCAGUAGGGAAUCUUCGGCAAUGGACGGAAGUCUGACCGAGCAACGCCGCGUGAGUGAAGAAGGUUUUCGGAUCGUAAAGCUCUGUUGUAAGAGAAGAACGAGUGUGAGAGUGGAAAGUUCACACUGUGACGGUAUCUUACCAGAAAGGGACGGCUAACUACGUG
rnacentral:rRNA from 1 species